GCCGUGCAUGUCAUAAAACCCUCCAGGCCUGUCAUGUUCCGAUAAAUCUUGAUUUUUGUAACAGAGCAGCAGAGAGGUUCCCAGCCUUGGGUUUCACAGGUGAGCCACGGACUGAUGGAUCGUUCGGGAGCCAAAGGGGGGAAAUGCAGGGGCCAGUGAGGAGGACAGAGGAAACUUUACACGCAGCCCUGCCCCCACCAGGCUCCCUAGGCCCCAGGCGGAAAACCCAGCCUGCAAGAGGAUCCCAUGCCCUUUCUCUCUCAUCUCUGUGGCAGGGGGACCAGCCUCGCCUCCACCCCUGGACCCUCUCCAAGGCUGAUAAACAGAAGAAGAGCAAGCCAGGUGACCUGCGUUGGGACCUGCUGGUGCUAUGAAGAAGGGGCAGACUGUGGGUGAAUUUCUCGGUUUCCUUGUUUAUCAAGUGGGAAUGAGGGGUUCCCUGGCACAGAGUGGAUUUAUGGUUACUGUGCCCAACCUUCUGUAAGUAUGAUGGUCAGGAACAUGGUCUCUCCUGCAGCUGUCCCAUGUCCCCUCCCACCACUGGGACUGCUCAGGCAGGACUCAAUCCCAUUGCUCGGAUGGGCCUGCAGAGGUCUGCACUCUGCCUGGCUCUUAGGGGCAGUCUACCAAGAACCAUGCCUACUUCUCCCCUUGCUGCCUCCUGCUGGCCUGAACUGGAAGCUGGACUGAAUUUGGCUCCCUGGCCCCCACAGGACACAUGGCUGCCAUUUGUUGGCAUCAGUAGCAUCCUUGGCGUCAAGAACAAAUGUCACUUCCCACCUGCACACCAUCUGGGCAGCAGCACCCCAUGUCGGCGGUUCAGAUCUCGCCCUGAGCGGAGAGGAGAAGCCCUUUGUCACUCAGCCGGCUGUCCCUCUAGCCUCUGCCCAUCUUGUUGGAACUGUAAAAAGCUCUUUAAGACCCUGGUUUGCAGAGAUACCAGAAGCUCAGAGGUCAGAAACCUGAGCUUGGUGCUAAAGAGACGCAACCCUCCUGGGAGGAGAGGGGGCCCCUUAAUGGCUUCAGCAGAUGUGCAGACCAAGGGGCCCCCUGCCCACCUGCAGAUAACCCCUGACCCUACCCUCCCACUGGACCAGUCAGAAAGUCCCACAUAGGGAGGUCGCCAAGUGCCCAGUGCCCUCCCUAGGCCUCCCACUGUCAAACUUCUUAAAAGAGCCUUCAGCAAACGAGGCAGAAUGGUGCCUCUGCUCAGGGCUGGCCUGGGCCCUCUGUCUCUGCCUGGGGUUCAGGAAUCUCUGUGAUGCAAUCCCACAGGGCUGAGCUCUGUGACCUGAUCAGCUCCCCGAGACAGGCAUGGAUGUCCCAUUUCUGGCUCUGUCUAUAAAUGGGCCCCAGCCUCCUCCGGCUGUACCUAUGGUAAUGCAGGAGCAGAGAGAUCUGUGGUUAUAGAACAGCAGCCUUCAAGAAACAUAUGAGCACAUGCACACGUGUGUAGAGUGCAUGCAUCCUGUAUAAGGGGUUAUAACAUUUUUAUAAUUUCCUGCUGCUCCCUUUGGCAAGAAUUUCAUGCUGCAUAUAGAGGAUGCACUGUUCUUUUUCAUGGCUGCAUAUUAACCCCAGUUUGGUUAGUUUAUCAUCUGACUAAGAGUCACACAGCCCAUCAUUUACACACAGCUUUCCCUGUGGACUUAAGUAGCAGCAGCAUCCCUUGCCAUGGUUCUAUAGGACGUGAGUCUGGUCCCUUCCCUGGAGUCUGGUCCCACUAAAACUCUAUCCACAGCUGGGAGGAGCUCAGGCUGCCCUGGCUGCCUCUGCUGCCUGCUGUGUACAUUGACUUUCAUGUCUGUGGAGAGUGCCUGGCAAGGGUUCAGCAGACCUCACUGAAUCUCAGAAAAAUGCAGCCCUGACAGAGGAGGCAGGAGAGGCCCAACAAGGACCAUGGUAUCUGGCAUUCCAACCCCUUUCUCAGCUGUGUAGUCAUGAAGCCUGACAGAACAGAUGCAGUGGCUUCAAGACACAGCCUGCGUCAUUCAGAACAGCAGACUUCAGAGUGAUUCUGAGCUCUCAGCUCAGCCCCACCAGUGUUCUAAUUCUAACCCAGCUCCUCACAGACAAGAUUCCUCAGAGGGUGCUGUUCACUGAGCCUCAGGCCAAGGGUAAUUCCAACAGGUCUGCACGGGGGCUAGAGGGGUAUUUAAAAUUGGGUGUGUACUUUCACACAUGGGAGCAAGUAUGUGUGCAUGUGUACAUGUGCAUGUAUGUCUAUGUAUGUUGCAUGUGUGUGCUUGUCUGUGUGUUCGUGUGUAUGAGUGUGUGCUUGUGUGUGCAUGUAUAUGCAUGUCAGUGUACUUGUGUGUGCACAUAUGUGUACAAGCAUGUGUUUUUGUAUACAUACAUAUGUGUACAUGGUAGUGUGUUUGUGUGUGCAUAUGUGUGUGCUUAUGUGUGUGCUUGUGUGUGCAUGCAUAUGUAUGCAUGUCAGUGUGCUCUGGUGUGUGCUUGUGUGUGCAUGCAUAUUUGUACAUGUCAGUGUGCUUGUGUCUGUACUUAUGCUUGCAUAUGUGUGUGCUUGUGUGUAUGUUCAUGUCAGCAUGUUUAUGUAUGGUGUGUGUACUUGUGUGUGCAUGCAUAUGUAUGCAUGUCAGUGUGCUUUGGUGUGCACAUGCAUGUGUGUGUGCUUGCCUGUGUGUGCAUAUGUGUACAAGUGUGUGCAUGUAUGUGCGCUUAUGUGUGCAUGUGUAUGCUUAUAUGUGUGUGCAUGUCAGUGUGCUUGUGUGUGCUCAUGUGUGCAUGUGUGUGCAUGCUUAUGUGUGCAUGUCAGUGUGUUUGUGUGUGUCAGUGUGGCUGUGGAUGUUGAGGUGUGUGCUACUCCAAGGGCAUAUCAUCCACUUUUUUUGUGUGUGUGACAGGGCCUCUCAUUAGCCUGGAACUCAGUCCAGGGAGCCCCAGGCACAGCACUUCUCUCUUGAGCCAUCUCCCCAAUAGUUACAGGAUUCCAUCUAUGACAAAAUGCUAUGUGUGCAGCUCCAGACAUGGACUCGUCUUGACUUUUGUCAUUGCUGGCUGAGAAGGUGUGACUCUCUGAACACCUUCUUCCUUCCUAUGGGGACCUCCCCCACCAGAUCAUGGUCCCCAGGACACACCAUCAGGUGUCAGAGUCUGAAAGUAGAGACACAGGCUUGUCUUCUCCUGUGGUCUCCACCUGAGUCCUCAGCUGCUGGGUUGCACACAGCCCCUGCAUGCUGUGGGCUUCUACCUGGAGGCAGGAGGCUUUGGCCUCUUCUCCCACUCUGGCUCUGAGAUUCAGGAUCAGCCGGUGUGCCCACAGGUCCAUGGGACUAGCUAUUCUUUCCAGAGACAAAAACGUUGUACAGAGUCCCACAAGCCUGAGGCUGUCACAGAUAAGGCUUGCUCCCUCUGGCUUUUUCCUGCAGGACUUGUGGAAAUAACUGGGUCUGUUUGACAUCAACUGGGUCCUCCCAACCCCCACCCAUGGCCUUCCAGUGACCUUUGGCUAUGGGAGGGAGGAAAACGUCACUUUUCCCUAACCCACUGAAAUGACAGUGACAGAGGCCAGUAUGACCUUCCCAGAAAGGCCUCUGGGACUUAGGAAAGGAUCUGUACCCAGCCGAGGCCAAGAGUCCCCAGCAGCCGCUCCUCAGAUAAUGGUGAGGCCUCCUCCAGAGGGGCUUCUCCCAGGACUGGGGCAGUGGGCAAGCAGGAAGGCAGGGCGCGGCCCACAGGACACACGGAAGAGGAGGAAAUGACCAGCCGAGUCUAGACUCGUUAUCUCAGCCCUCGGGCACUGGCCCACACUUGUCCAUCGGCCCGGAAUGGACUUCCUGCCUCAGAUUUACGCCAGUGACUUCACCCUCUUGCUAUCUCGACAGCCCACUGCCCGCUCAGCUCUCAGGAAUUAGGGGCCUGAUAACAAGUCUAGACAGCUUCGAGGUUGGAGAUGGAUCGCUCUCCAGGGCAGGGGGAUAGCCAGCAGCGGGCUCUAGGGAUGUGAAGGCCAAAGUGCUGGCCAGCACUCAGCACAACGCUAGUGGGAGUCUGGGGCUCUUGUUUCCUCCCCGGCCUCACCACCCUGGGGGUGGCGGGACGAGGCAUAAGGCUCAGUUCAGUGAGUGGGACACUCCAUCUCUUUCCCACAUGGUAAGGCGACACCCCGAUACCUAGACAAGAAGAGGCCACCGUCUGAAGAUGGGGGGAGUGCCCAGACGACUAUAAUCCAGUCAGGGGACAGGACUUAGGAUAAAUAUACACAGCCACCUCACCAAAGCCCUGCUACCACAAUACCGAGUGUCACUGGAGACCUCUUCAUUGGUGUCCUGCCUAGGGACCUGAGGACACAUUGGCACCCACUUACCAACCAGCCCUGGGCUCUCAUCCAGCCUGAGUGAGAUGCCAGCCUCUCUGCCCCUUCCAUCCCGGCUACAUAAUGAAUUGUGUCCCCCAACUCACAUGCUGUCCAACCUGCUGUGACAUCCUUUGGAAUUGGGGUCCUUGGGAAAAGAAGCUGUUAAGCAGGAGUCCUGCUGGAGCAGGAAGCCACCUAUCAAGACAGCAGGACCCCGUGAGAAGCUCUACUUACAGAAGGACCCAUAGGUGUCCCCAGUGGUUCAGCCAGGAUAGAGGCAGUGCAGGGUGUAGACCAGUGUCCCAUGCUGUAAGGCGGAAAGCUGUAGAGGGCACUGCACAUCCUCUGAGAACCACAGAGGCAAUACGCGGCCUCACAGGGCUACCCACCAAGGCCAUCUCAUCAACAGGCCGUACACUGGUUUGUUUUCUCAGUCGCUUUUCCACCUAUACCUCCACUUGAAACCCCUGAGUCACCCCCAAUCCAGCCACCUGUACACAAACACUGUCUUUAUCUGUGGCAGGGAGGAGGCGUCCAAACUAGACAGUAUUGGGAAGAAGACGGAAGGUGCAGUGGCUACCCUGACUGAGACCUCCACACUAAGAUCUCAGCUUCCUUUGAGCAAUAACAGGUGCCAAGUCAAAACUAGCCCCAAAGGCAAGCCACUCCUCCACCUGUGUACACGCACAAGUGAGAUCAGAGUGUGGCUAUGAGGCAAGGGCAGUGUGAAUGAGGCAUGGCUCGGUGUGAUUGACACUCAGGGUGUGAGAGGCGUGGGUGUGAACGGGAGGCGUGAAUGUGUGAGUGACAAGGAGGGGGUGUGUUUUUGUGAGAACAUUCCUGGACGGAAACCAGAAGCACUAGAUUAAGCAGAAAUUCAAAGUUUUUCUUCCACGGUUUUGAAACAGUAACAAAAUGCUUGAGACCAGCCGCUUACAAAGAAAAAAGGUUAUUUUGUCUCCAGUCAGUGACCAGCUUCCACUGGUGGAGCUAAGCCUCUAACCUCACAAAGAAGCCCAACAAAAUAAAGGCAAGAACUGGAGUACUGGGGUUCCACUGACCCUCGUGGGCAUGUCCCCAGUGACCCAGAGACCUCCUCUUGGUUCCAAGUGUCACCUCUAAGGCGGGAAAGAUGAUAGAAGCAGAAAAUCAAGGUGGCCUUGGCUAAACAUCUGUGAUUUAAAUAGACAAGGUUGAACAUGGUAUAGUUAGUGUCCACCAUUAUGGGUUAUGAGGAAAACGCAAAUUAUUAAUACCACAUCACCUCAUAUUGGCUCCCGUGAGGGACACCAACCUGACAUGAUUGAGUGGGGAGACAGGGCCUCAUUGCUGGAGCAUCUUUUGAUGCUACCUCUUGGAAGAAUGGCUUGGGGCAUCUUAGCAACAUGUGCCCAGGGUCCUACUCGAUGGUACCCAUCCCUGCCCACACCCCACAGAGACCACAGGGACACAGCUAGGCUGAUCAGGGCAAACCUUGGAAGGUGUCUACGGCUGCAUUUUGAAUGACUGAACUUGUACGAGGUCCUGGGAGGCAGAUCAGAUCUGUAGACUUGGGGCAGCCCCACGGCAGAGGAGAAAGACAGAGGAGUGCACUGCACUAUAUUUCUACAGAAAGCAGGGUGGCUCUCUCUGCAGGGUGAGCUCAGAGGCCUCCUGAGGGAACCAUCCUAUAGUUAAAGACCCGGGGGUGGAGUGGGGCUUCAAGGGUCCUGGGCCCUGGGGGUGACAAGGUGGUCAAUGUUUUUUCUCCCUUUGCAACUGGGUUCUGGUGACCUUGGCAUGCACUAUGGUGUUCUCCCAAAUGUGUCAUUUUUGAGGCAUUUCUUAUAUGUUAAUAAAACAUUUAUGUAUAAAA